rnacentral:rRNA from 1 species
UACAGGGGGUGCAAACGUUGCUCGGAAUCAUUGGGCGUAAAGCGCACGUAGGCGGUUCGUUAUGUCGGAUGUGAAAGCCCUUGGCUUAACCGAGGAAGUGCAUCCGAAACUGGCGAGCUAGAGUACGAAAGAGGAUCGCGGAAUUCCCGGUGUAGAGGUGAAAUUCGUAGAUAUUCGCAAGAACACCAGUGGCGAAGGCGGCCAACUGGUCCGGAACUGACGCUGAGGUGCGAAAGCGUGGGGAGCAAACAGG